AUAGGGUUCCAGCCGUAGAGGCCAGGGCUGGGGCCGCGGCCUUGGAGGCUGAUCCACCAUGGCCUCCUGAACUGUCUGCUCUGCCAUGGCACCCAGAACGGGUACCACUCUGGAGGCCUGCUGUCCUGUGUCUGUCCUGAGGGGCCUCCAGAGGACACGCCUUCCAGGAGGUGGAAGUAAUGUCAGUGUUUUGGACUUUUUUUACCCAUCGUGGUUCCUGGUUUUCCUUAUAUGGUCAUUUUCCUAUCUUGUUUAGUUUGAUUGCCUUAUCCUAUGCACCAGUGUUUGCAAUUUUGCAAUUUGCACACUGACAUGUAGAGCUUAAGUACUUUUUUUUCAUCACAAUGUCCAUUUAUUAUCAGUGACCCUACUAUUCAAUAUAUAUUUUUUAGAACCAUGGCUAAUACCAAAAAAAAAAGUCUCAAAAUAUUUUUCAAUGUUUUUGCAUUCCCACGAGAAACUUUGUUCUCUCGCAAAAAUAUAGAUUUUUAAAUAUAGAAAAACUACAAUUUGUUCAAAAACCCAUAUAAUUCAUAAUAAUCUGAAUUUUAAUCAUUCUUUUUGUUACCAUCAAAUAAGUCUGUUUGGUUGUUCAUGUGUGUGUGUGAAUGCUGGAAUUUUUUUAGAGAGCUUUUAGCAAGACUGCAGACACAAAAAUGAAUAAUAAAAAAAAUAAUAAUAAUUGGAUCUUUGGACACAGUUUGCCUUUCAUAAUAGACAUCUGUGUUUCCUUAUUCUUGAAAACUGCUAGCCGCCACUUGUGUACAGUUUGUUAAUUGUGUUUUUGAGAAGAUUAUACGAAGAGCCUAAGGAGCUAUGAUUUCAUGGUACUGCUUAUUUAAUAAUUUAGCUUGAAAUUUGGUUACUUACGGAUGGAUGUUUGAAUGUCUGUUAUUAGCAGCACUGCACUGCACUACUUGCACUGAAGUCACCCACAGAGAAUGCUGUACUGUGGUAGAAGAAAAAAAAAUCUUUCAUUUAAGUCUUACUGUGUUUUCAGGCCAGUUUGUUUUUACUUGCAAAGGUUUUUCAUUCAAAGUCUGCUGAAAAGACUAUUGACCUGAUUUACAGUACUUUUGGAAAGUUGAUUUGCAGAAAGUCAUUUCCCUUAUAUUUUCAUAUUUUAACAUAAAAUAUUUCUUGUUUGAUGACACACAUGACUGUUUUCCAUUUUGCAGACAGAUGUCCUCUCUUGUACCCUUAAAAAACAUUUAAGGACUCCACACUUUAGAUAUUCUUGUUUAAUCUAUUUGAAUGAGCGAGCCUGAGAAUCAUGCAAUUGUGUGUCUGUGAAAAAGAGCAUUACAUUGGAUUGUUUACGGAGUAGAACAGUUUUGCACAAAUUACAGAAUAGGCAAUUUUUUAAUUUAUUUUUUUAUUUUUAUUUUUAUUUUAUUAUUAUUAUUAUUUAAAUUUUUUAACAUUUUUUUUUUUCAGUUAUUAAUUUGAAGGUUCUAACAAUGAACAAGACACAGUAUGAAUAUUCAGCUGCUUAGUCCGUUUAUUUUUUUUAAAUAUUUUUUUAUCGCAGAUGGCGUACGCUCUUCUUUAUCAGCUGCGCCACAAGGUUAAAUUUUUUUACGUAUAUUUACGCUUUGGUUUGAAAGCAAACAACGCAUCGGCGCAGCACGGCUGACACAGAAGAGCGUACGCCGCUUGCAUACUGCUCAAAAUUGCCAAAAUGGCACUACGCUGAUUUGGAGAGACACAGAGGAGAGGAAUUGUUGAAUAAAGUCGUUAUUUUUGUUUUCUUCGUGUACAAAAAGUAUUCUCGUUGCUUCAUAACGUUACGGUUGAAUCACUGAUGGCAGAUGGACUAUUCUGACGAUGCUUUUCAUACUUUCCUGGACCUUGAGACUGUUAUUUAUUUGGCAGUCUAUGGGACAAUCUCAAGCCUCCCUGUUUUAACCCUUUAAAUUUUGAUUUAUGAUUACUGUGACAGGAAGGAAGACCUUUUCAUUAAAUAAAAAUAAUCAUUUGACAUCACAUUCUGAUGGGUCAUUUUAGUAUUUUUUUUUUUUUAAGAAUUUUUUCAUUACCUUGGAGUAAUGCAAUUGAGCUGUGAUCAUAUAAAAUGGUACUGGAACCAUGGCAGAUCAAACAGACUGUGUGUUUAGUUGUGAAUAUUUUAAGCUUAAAUGAACACAGGCUGUGGAAACAUGAGCUUGGCAUGCCUGGAUGUCACAUUGCUGUUCUAGAUAACACCAGAUAAUGGA
ensembl:lncRNA